GUAUCAAAGCGAUGAGUAUGUAUUUAUAGAGUUCCAUUAUUCACAAAUCUAGUCUUAAAGAUCGAACUAAGAUCAAAUUAGGCCCUUAAAUCUAGAUUUUAAUGGAUGAGAUUAAACCAUGUCUCAUGAAUUUCGCUACUUCAUUAUGUAAGCAAUAUACUUCAAAUCAGAGGUAUUUCGGUCAAAUUACAUCUAGGGUAAAAAAAAACUCAACGUUGUUUCUCCUCAUUCACACCGCUCCUCUUCUUUCUCAUCUCUCUCGCUCUCUUCUUCUCCAAAUUGAAGUAUACUUCUACAAAUCGAUGAAUUUUCUUCCACAAAGCGACGAAUCUUCUUCUACAAAGUGAUGCUCAUCUUAUACUCCAAAUCGACGCUCAAACGCUGCUUCUCUGCCAAAAUCGACGACUCCAUAACUUCCUCUUCUACAAUCGACGACAUCUCAAGCUGAUUCAAGUCGAUUGACCACAGAUUCAAAAUGGUUGACACAUGAAAGUCGUCUACCGAUAGUCGUUGAUUAACCACGGAUUCAACAUCUCUAUCCGUCGAUUUCAACAUCUCUAUCCGCAAACUUCAACAUCUCCAUCAGCCGACAUCCACAUCUCCACGUGAUUUGAAAUAGUUGACACCAGAAAUUCAUCAAUGGAAGAUGGACGCCGAUUGCGUUCCGACAGAACGUUAUGCCUCAUCGGGUCGACAAAGCUAAUCUCGUGUGAAGUUCUUUUGCUGGUCGGCUUGAAGGUGAAGAAAACGCUGGGGAAAAAUCCUUUAACUCACAGCUGGGUGAGAAAUCAAAUUGGAGGAACGAAAUGAAGAGUUUCGGAGAUGUAGUUGAGGCACGGUGACAUGCUGAUGAGGACAUUUGUGCAGUCCGUCCCCAUGCCUAACAAAUGGGUGGUGCCUAAAAUCACGGCGCAGCCCAUUGAGAUGUGUUGGUGUGUCAAUUUUGGAUGAUUUCUUGUAUUGGACAAGUUUGUGUUUUUUCCUUUUUUGUGAUGGAGAUUUUGUAUUGGUUAUGGGGUUUAUAUAGUGAGGAUUAUGUGGUUUACAA